rnacentral:rRNA from 1 species
GGUGGAGCAUGUGGUUUAAUUCGAUGCAACGCGAAGAACCUUACCUGGUCUUGACAUCCACAGAACUUUCCAGAGAUGCUUUGGUGCCUUCGGGAACUGUGAGACAGGUGCUGCAUGGCUGUCGUCAGCUCGUGUUGUGAAAUGUUGGGUUAAGUCCCGCAACGAGCGCAACCCUUAUCCUUUGUUGCCAGCGGUUCGGCCGGGAACUCAAAGGAGACUGCCAGUGAUAAACUGGAGGAAGGUGGGGAUGACGUCAAGUCAUCAUGGCCCUUACGACCAGGGCUACACACGUGCUACAAUGGCAUAUACAAAGAGAAGCGACCUCGCGAGAGCAAGCGGACCUCAUAAAGUAUGUCGUAGUCCGGAUUGGAGUCUGCAACUCGACUCCAUGAAGUCGGAAUCGCUAGUAAUCGUAGAUCAGAAUGCUACGGUGAAUACGUUCCCGGGCA